rnacentral:rRNA from 1 species
AUUGAACGCUAGCGGGAUGCCUUACACAUGCAAGUCGAGCGGAGCGGCGGACGGGUGAGUAAUGUAUCGGAACGUGCCCAGUAGCGGGGGAUAACUACGGGAAAGCGUAGCUAAUACCGCAUACUAUUAGAUGAGCCGAUAUCGGAUUAGCUAGUUGGUGGGGUAACGGCUUACCAAGGCGACGAUCCGUAGCUGGUUUGAGAGGAUGAUCAGUCACACGGGAACUGAGACACGGUCCAGACUCCUACGGGAGGCAGCAGUGGGGAAUUUUGGACAAUGGGGGAAACCCUGAUCCAGCCAUGCCGCGUGUGCGAAGAAGGCCUUCGGGUUGUAAAGCACUUUCGGCAGGAAAGCGGUACCUGCAGAAGAAGCACCGGCUAACUCCGUGCCAGCAGCCGCGGUAAUAC